rnacentral:rRNA from 1 species
GAUGAACGCUGGCGGCGUGCUUAACACAUGCAAGUCGAACGGUAACAGGGAGGAAGCUUGCUUUCUUUGCUGACGAGUGGCGGACGGGUGAGUAAUGCUUGGGAAUCUGGCUUAUGGAGGGGGAUAACGACGGGAAACUGUCGCUAAUACCGCGUAAUAUCUUCGGAUUAAAGGGUGGGACUUUCGGGCCACCUGCCAUAAGAUGAGCCCAAGUGGGAUUAGGUAGUUGGUGGGGUAAAGGCCUACCAAGCCGACGAUCUCUAGCUGGUCUGAGAGGAUGACCAGCCACACUGGAACUGAGACACGGUCCAGACUCCUACGGGAGGCAGCAGUGGGGAAUAUUGCACAAUGGGGGAACCCUGAUGCAGCCAUGCCGCGUGAAUGAAGAAGGCCUUCGGGUUGUAAAGUUC